UGGGGAAUAUUGGACAAUGGGCGAAAGCCUGAUCCAGCCAUGCCGCGUGUGUGAAGAAGGUCUUCGGAUUGUAAAGCACUUUAAGUUGGGAGGAAGGGCCAUUACCUAAUACGUGAUGGUUUUGACGUUACCGACAGAAUAAGCACCGGCUAACUCUGUGCCAGCAGCCGCGGUAAUACAGAGGGUGCAAGCGUUAAUCGGAAUUACUGGGCGUAAAGCGCGCGUAGGUGGUUUGUUAAGUUGGAUGUGAAAUCCCCGGGCUCAACCUGGGAACUGCAUUCAAAACUGACUGACUAGAGUAUGGUAGAGGGUGGUGGAAUUUCCUGUGUAGCGGUGAAAUGCGUAGAUAUAGGAAGGAACACCAGUGGCGAAGGCGACCACCUGGACUGAUACUGACACUGAGGUGCGAAAGCGUGGGGAGCAAACAGGAUUAGAUACCCCUGUAGUCCCUGAGCGGGCUGGCAAGGCGCAU
rnacentral:rRNA from 1 species